GAUGACAUUGUAGCUUUUCUGAACUUCUAAAUUUUCUCUGGGUACACUGGAAUCUUAACUCUAGGGGAUUCACAUAGAGUGCAUCCUUUGAGGUUCCUGGCAGGAAUUGUAGUCUCCCCUUGAGGCAUUCUACUGUUCCAAUUCCAGAGUCUAGAAUACUUUAAGACACAGAUAAGUUGUAGUCGAGACACCAGGCCUCUGGCCAUGCUGAAUUCUUAGCUAUAAACUGUAGUCAUAAAUAUGUUGGCUGAGUUGAAAAUUUUCCACUGGACAAGAAUUCUACAAUAAUUAGUAGUACAAGGCUCCCUACCACAUGAUAGCUGUCUCCAAGUAAUUGAAGGGCUGUCAUGUGGAGGAGGCAUUAGACCUGUUCAUUCUUGGCCCAGAAGGCAGAAAUAGGAACAAUGAAUCUAAAUUGAAUUGAAACAGAUUUAAGCUCAGGAAAAAAAGGAAAAAAUUCCUAAAAUUCACUAACAAUUGAAAUUGGCCCAAAGUGAAUUGGGCUGCCUUGAGAGGUAGUGGGUUUCCAAUAUCUGGAAGUUAUGGAGAAGAGCCUGGAUGACGUCAGGGAUGUUAUGGAGAGAUUUCACCUUUAGAUUGGAGAUCCACUCCCUGAACCUAGAAAUGGAAAGGAUGAACAAAAAAAGAUGA
rnacentral:lncRNA from 1 species